rnacentral:rRNA from 1 species
GUAUAGGCAAUAGACAUUUUUACCCCGGCGCAAUAGACAUAGUACCGUAAGGGAAAGAUGAAAGAACUGUAUCAAGCAUUAAAAAGCAAAGACAAACCCUUAUACCUUCUGCAUAAUGUAUUAACUAGAAAUAACUUUACACAGAGAAUUAUAGCCAAGUUCCCCGAAACCAGACGAGCUACCCAAGAACAGCUGAAAGAGCACACUUACCUAUGUGGCAAAAUAGUGAGAAGAUUCAUGAGUAGCAGUGACAAGCCUACCGAGCCUGGUGAUAGCUGGUUGUCCAAGAUCGGAUCUUAGUUCAACUUUAAACUUACCCACACAAUUACUUAAUCUCCUUGUAAGUUUAGACAGCUCUUUAGACCCUAGGAAACAAUCUUCCUAUAGAGAGUAAAAAAUAUUUCCACAGUAGUUGGCCCAAUAGCAGCCACCAACUAAGAAAGUGUUUAAGCUCAACAUCUAACUAUCUUAAAUUCUAGUCACUCUACUGAACUCCUAACAUCACAAUGGACUAGUCUAUUACUUAAUAGAAGCAAUAAUGUUAAUAUAAGUAAUAUGAAAGCAUUCUCCAUUGUAUAAGCUUACAUCAGACUGGAAUAACCCACUGACAGCCUAAUAUUAAUAAAUGAUAUAAUAAGCAUCUUAUUAUUUACACUGUUAACCCAACACAGGCAUGCUGUAAGGAAAGAACACAAAAAGUAAAAGGAACUUGGCAAAUUUUACCCCGCCUGUUUACCAAAAACAUCACCUCUAGCAUUACCAGUAUUAGAGGCACUGCCUGCCCAGUGACAUAUGUUCAACGGCUGCAGUAUCCUGACUGUGCAAAGGUAGCAUAAGCACUUGUUCCUUAAAUAGGGACUUGUAUGAAUGGCCACAUGAGGGUUCAGUUGUUUUCUACUUUUAAUCAGUGAAAUUGACCUAUCUGCGAAGAGGCGGAUAUAAACAAAUAAGACGAGAAGACCCUAUGUAUGGAGCUUUAAUUUAUUAAUUCAAAUAAAAACUUAAACAAGUCUACAGAUCCUAGCCUACUAUCCCUGCAUUAAAAAUUUUGGUUGGGGUGACUUCAGAGCAUAAUUCAACCUCCGAGCAACCUAAACUAAGACUGCACUAGUCUAAGUAAGUUAAUAUAUAUUGACCCAAUAAUUUGAUCAAUGGAAUAAGUUACCCUAGGGAUAACAGUACAAUCCUAUUCUAGAGUCCAUAUCGACAACAGGGUUUACGACCUCGAUGUUGGAUCUGGACAUCCUUCCUAAUGGUGUUGCUGCUAUUAGGGGUUCGUUUGUUCAACGAUUAAAGUCCUACGUGAUCUGAGUUCAGACCGGAGUAAUCCAGGUCAGUUUCUAUCUAUUUAACAUUUCCCCUAGUACGA